AAUAAGGUUUCCUUUGUUAUGCAGUAUAUCCAUAUUAUAAUUAGAGGAGAGGAGUUGUACCGCCUUGCGCAUAAUGCAUUUUAAUUCCUUAUUUCUCACAUCCCGAAAGUCACAUUACAUCUAUGAACCAGAAGAACUAGAGAGCUGGGUCGACAUACGAAGACGCGGGAGCUAAAGCAAAUAGACUGUGAGGUUAUCAGGAUACAGGAGAAAUGGGUUAUGCUUUAGUCCUUGUAAAUGGCACUGGUUUUUCUGGUGCAAGUAAAGCCUGACAGUGGUGUACUCCAGGCAAUGUGAAGCUAGGACUUUCCUAUCAGGCGUGACCUUGUAGCCAAAUCCAUGAGGAGUCGGAGGCAGUUGCAGCAACUAACCAUGAAGCGACGGUGGAGAUCCAGUUCAUCUUUUAGGUCUGACCAGCACAAGGUGGCAACAGCAAUAGUGGAGAAGGCAUGAAGAGGCCCACGUCUGAAAAUCCGUUCUGCUGACAAAUCAAGGGAGAUGGUCUUAGC